GCAAGUCGAACGCGAAAGCUCCCUUCGGGGAGUGAGUAGAGUGGCAGACGGGUGAGUAACACGUGGGCAACCUACCCCGAGGCGGGGGAUAACCACUGGAAACGGUGGCUAAUACCGCAUGAGACCACAACCCUGCGGGGUUAUGGUUAAAGGCUUCGGCCACCUUGGGAGGGGCCCGCGGCCGAUUAGCUAGUUGGUGAGGUAACGGCUCACCAAGGCGACGAUCAAUAGCCGACCUGAGAGGGUGAUC
rnacentral:rRNA from 1 species